rnacentral:rRNA from 1 species
AUUGAACGCUGGCGGCAUGCUUUACACAUGCAAGUCGAACGGUAACAGGGUGCUUGCACCGCUGACGAGUGGCGAACGGGUGAGUAAUGCGUCGGAACGUGCCGAGUAGUGGGGGAUAACGCAGCGAAAGUUGUGCUAAUACCGCAUACGUACUGAGGUAGAAAGUGGGGGACCUUUGGGCCUCACGCUAUUCGAGCGGCCGACGUCUGAUUAGCUAGUAGGUGAGGUAAAGGCUCACCUAGGCGACGAUCAGUAGCGGGUCUGAGAGGAUGAUCCGCCACACUGGGACUGAGACACGGCCCAGACUCCUACGGGAGGCAGCAGUGGGGAAUUUUGGACAAUGGGCGAAAGCCUGAUCCAGCCAUGCCGCGUGUCUGAAGAAGGCCUUCGGGUUGUAAAGGACUUUUGUCAGGGAGGAAAUCCCUAGUGCUAAUAACACUGGGGGAUGACAGUACCUGAAGAAUAAGCACCGGCUAACUACGUGCCAGCCGCCGCCGUAAGAC